ACCUGGCUGGCUCAGCUGGUAGAGCAUGGGAUUCUUGUUCUUGGGGUCAUGUGUUCAAGCCCCAUGCUGGGCA
rnacentral:tRNA from 1 species